rnacentral:lncRNA from 1 species
AUGCCACAGGCUGGGAUGGCCAUUCAGGACAGGGGAGGGGACCUGCCAUGGCAGCCUCUGCCAGCUCCCCUGGGCCGGGUCUUCAGGGGGAGGAGGACUAAGGGCUCCAAUGUGCCCUCAGGAGACGCCCUGCUCUCAGCUCCAGUACGUGGCUGGCUGGGCCCCCUGUUUCCAGAGUUCACCAUCCAGGGGCUAGGCACACAGGGGCACCGCCCCCCCGCCCCCCCAGUUGCCCCUGCUCCUGGGGAAGUGAAACAGCCCGGGGCCCUGGUGGAACCUCCUGGCUGCACCUGGCAGCCGAUCCCAGGAACGCAGCCUGCAAAGCCCGCUGGGCUGACCUCUGCACACCCUCCCGCGGCGCCGUGCCAGGCCUUACUCAUGCUCUGGCAGUGCCAGGACCUCUCUCGGAGGCGGGGCCAACAGUGGCUUCCCGGCCCUGCGCCAGGCCCAGGCCUGCACCCUAAGCACAGCUCCUGGAUCCAGGAACUGCCUCUUCUUACGGCCGGGAGAGGGCGGCCGGAGAGGGCGAGAGCCCCGCCCAGGGUCACCCACCAAGCCAAGGAACCAGUGGGCAGCAUAAGGAGCAGCCAGAACUGGGCGCCAAGCAGCCUGGGUUCGAACCCCCGCGCUUCCCGGUCGCUAGCAGCAAGACCUCGGGAAAGUUACCCAACCACCGCGAGCCUCAGUUUUCCUGUAAGGAAACAGCCGAUCUCCGUGAAUAACGCCCCUUUCCACCUUCCUGGGAUCCCUGGAGGCAAACAGCCAGGGAGGAGGGCAGCCGGCCGGGAAGCGCGGAGUCACCACCGCCUUCUCCUCUCCUGCGCUCGCUCAAGGAGGUGGCCGUGGGGAGGGGUCUGCGCCCCGCGGGAGGGGCCAGGGUGGGCGGCCCGCCUUCUCCGGGCCCCCGACUGUGGGGUGAGGGCGAGAGGCCGCUGGGGGCCGGGAAGGUUCGAGGAGUCCCCAGGAGGUCUCUCCUUGCAGCCCCCGCCCGCCGGCGCCCAGCGCACAGACACCGGGGCCGCCGCCUGGGUUCGGCCGCCCCGGGGGGGGGGGCGNUGGGGAGGGGUCUGCGCCCCGCGGGAGGGGCCAGGGUGGGCGGCCCGCCUUCUCCGGGCCCCCGACUGUGGGGUGAGGGCGAGAGGCCGCUGGGGGCCGGGAAGGUUCGAGGAGUCCCAGGAGGUCUCUCCUUGCAGCCCCCGCCCGCCGGCGCCCAGCGCACAGACACCGGGGCCGCCGCCUGGGUUCGGCCGCCCCGGGGGGGGGCGUGUGCGUGUGCGUCUCCACUGGCAACGGCGCGGUCGCCGGGCAACCCGCGCGCCCCAGGCCCGCCGCGCCCCGGGGAGCCCCGAGGGGGAGGAACGGGGAGGGGGAACCCUGCAGCUCAGCUCAGCGCAGCGCGCCCCACCCCCCCGCGCGGGCUGGGGGUGCCUAUGGCAGCGGGGAACCGGCAUAGUCAGCUCCGGAGCCGGAGCCGGGGUGGCCGCUCGCAGGAGCUGCUCGCGGGGGCAGGGCACCUGGGCGGCCACGCGCGGCACAGAGGGAGGCAGGAAACGCAGGCCUCACUGGGACCCUGGCAAGCUCCUUCCUCCCCGGGAAAUCGAGGCAGCAAAGCCUCCAGGCCUCCUCCUGAGGCUAGGUGAGGAGGAGGGGCCGCAGGUGCCGGUGCCUGGUGAGUGGCAGACGAUUGCGCCAGCCGGGUGCUGUGCCCGUGGAGGAGGGAGCAGUGUCAGGGUGUGGGAUCCUGGAUGUCUAAAGUGA